CCUACGGGUGGCAGCAGUGAGGAAUAUUGGUCAAUGGACGAGAGUCUGAACCAGCCAAGUAGCGUGAAGGAUGACUGCCCUAUGGGUUGUAAACUUCUUUUAUAAAGGAAUAAAACGAGGCACGUGUGCCUUUUUGCAUGUACUUUAUGAAUAAGGAUCGGCUAACUCCGUGCCAGCAGCCGCGGUAAUACGGAGGAUCCGAGCGUUAUCCGGAUUUAUUGGGUUUAAAGGGAGCGUAGAUGGGUUGUUAAGUCAGUUGUGAAAGUUUGCGGCUCAACCGUAGAAUUGCAAUUGAUACUGGCAGUCUUGAGUACAGUUGAGGUAGGCGGAAUUCGUGGUGUAGCGGUGAAAUGCUUAGAUAUCACGAAGAACACCGAUGGCGAAGGCAGCUUACUAAACUGUGACUGACAUUGAUGCUCGAAAGUGUGGGGAUCAAACAGGAUUAGAUACCCCUGUAGUC
rnacentral:rRNA from 1 species